rnacentral:rRNA from 1 species
UGGGGAAUAUUGCACAAUGGGCGAAAGCCUGAUGCAGCAACGCCGCGUGAGUGAUGAAGGCCUUCGGGUUGUAAAAGCUCUGUCUUUUGGGACGAUAAUGACGGUACCAAAGGAGGAAGCCACGGCUAACUACGUGCCAGCAGCCGCGGUAAUACGUAGGUGGCAAGCGUUGUCCGGAUUUACUGGGCGUAAAGGAUGCGUAGGCGGAUUUUUAAGUGAGAUGUGAAAUACCCGGGCUUAACUUGGGUGCUGCAUUUCAAACUGGGAAUCUAGAGUGCGGGAGAGGAGAAUGGAAUUCCUAGUGUAGCGGUGAAAGUGCGUAGAGAUUAGGAAGAACACCAGUGGCGAAAGGCGAUUCUCUGGACCGUAACUGACGCUGAGGCAUGAAAGCGUGGGUAGCAAACAGGAUUAGAUACCCUGGUAGUCCACGCCGUAAACGAUGAGUACUAGGUGUAGGAGGUAUCGACCCCUUCUGUGCCGCAGUUAACACAAUAAGUACUCCGCCUGGGAAGUACGAUCGCAAGAUU